GUAGGUGGCGAGUGUUAUCCGGAAUUAUUGGGCGUAAAGAGCGCGCAGGUGGUUGAUUAAGUCUGAUGUGAAAGCCCACGGCUUAACCGUGGAGGGUCAUUGGANACUGGUCGACUUGUGUGCAGAAGAGGGAAGUGGNAUUCCAUGUGUNGCGGUGANAUGCGUAGAGAUAUGGAGGAACACCAGUGGCGAAGGCGGCUUCCUGGUCUGUNACUGACACUGAGGCGCGANAGCGUGGGGAGCNNACAGGAUUAGAUACCCUGGUAGUCCACGCCGUANACGAUGNGUGCUNNGUGUUGGGGGUCGANCCUCAGUGCUGANGUUAACGCAUUAAGCACUCCGCCUGGGGAGU
rnacentral:rRNA from 1 species